AGAACGAACGCUGGCGGCAUGCCUAACACAUGCAAGUCGAACGAGACCUUCGGGUCUAGUGGCGCACGGGUGCGUAACGCGUGGGAAUCUGCCCUUGGGUUCGGAAUAACAGCGAGAAAUUGCUGCUAAUACCGGAUGAUGACGUAAGUCCAAAGAUUUAUCGCCCAAGGAUGAGCCCGCGUAGGAUUAGCUUGUUGGUGAGGUAAGAGCUCACCAAGGCGACGAUCCUUAGCUGGUCUGAGAGGAUGAUCAGCCACACUGGGACUGAGACGACCGGCCCAGACCUCCGUACGGGAGGCAGCGAGGUAGGGGAAUAUUAGGAACAAGUAGGGACGAAAGGCCUGAACUCCAAGCAAUCGCCGCGUGAGUGA
rnacentral:rRNA from 1 species